rnacentral:tRNA from 1 species
GUCUCUGUAGUGCAGUGGUCAGCAUAUCUGUUCGUACGAACAGGAAGACGUGGGUUCGACUCCCGUCAGAGAUA